rnacentral:lncRNA from 1 species
CUCUCGAAUAAAGUGAACAAGUAGAAAAUAAAAACAUUGUAGGACUACAUGAUAUCAAUCAUCUCGUUUUUUAAGCCAUGCUAUAUUUCAUCGUUAAUAUCUACAAAUAUUUCCUUUCCCAAUAAGUCUAAGAAAUAAUGGUUGGAUCAUACACAACCUUGUAAAACCAGCUUUCGAUAUGUGAGAUGUCCACACUCAGGGGCGGUUCUAAGGCCCGGCGACCCCGGGCAUUCGCCCGGAUUCCGGGCCAAUUUUUUUGCAAUUUUUUGUGUAAAUUCCUAUGAAUUUUUUAUAUAAAUCCCUAUAAAUUGGACAAUUUCUUUACAUUUUUUAUUAUUUGCUUGCAAUUUCUUUACAUUUUUUAUUAUUUGCUUGCAAUUUCUUAUGUACGCCCUAUAAAUGUGUUGCAAUUUUUUUUUUGCCCGGGCUUUACAAUAUUUCUGGCUCCGCCACUGUCCACACUUAUAAACAAAUUGUCAGAUCAUCUUGUAUUUGAUACGAAACUCUUUAACACACCCUCUCACAUUCAGGAUCUGACAUAUGAAGCCAGAAUAUAAAUGGUGGGUGGUUCAAUAGCAAAAUCUUGUUAGCAGACUGUCCAAUAUAUCUUGAACCAGACUCAGAUACCAUUUUAGAAAUUGUAUUUGAGUUUACACAACCCUACAAAAUUAGUUUGUGAAAUAAAGAUUACCCUUAGUUAUAAAGACAUUCUCAAACGGUCUUAAGCUCAAAAAGCAUAGGUGUAAAAAGACAUGUGAGAACAAGAGAGUACAAAUAUAGGGUCCAAACCCAUAUGAUGAUUCUAUGGCCCUAUUAGUAACAGGCCUGUGGCAAU